rnacentral:rRNA from 1 species
CCCUUAGAUGUCCUGGGCCGCACGCGCGCUACACUGAGUGUCUGAGAUACGAGUCUGCCUGGUCCGGCAAGGUCUAGGUAAUCGCUAAAAGACACAUCAUGCUUGGGAUAGAUUAUUGCAAAUAUUAAUCUUGAACGAGGAAUUCCUAGUAAGCGCAAGUCAACAGCUUGCGUUGAUUACGUCCCUGCCCUUUGUACACACCGCCCGUCGCUACUACUGAUUGGAUGUUUAAGCGAGGUUCUCGAACUGCUAGCGACUUAGCUUCGGUGAGGUCGCAGUGUGGGAAGUGAACCUAGCUGUGGUGUCUAGAGGAAGUAAAAGUCGUAACA